GUCAGGGUGGACCAGUGGUUUGAAUGUUGUACUAGAAUUCCAGAAGACCAGGGUUUGAAUCCCCUCUCAGUCA